rnacentral:rRNA from 1 species
AGACGACGCUGGCGGCGCGCCUAACACAUGCAAGUCGAGCGGAGAUAUAUGAAGAGUAGUCCGAGUAUAUCUUAGCGGCGGACGGGUGAGUAACGCGUGAGUGACCUGCCUCUUACAGGGGAAUAACGUGCCGAAAGGCACACUAAUACCGCAUAAGACCACGAAACCGCAUGGUUAUGAGGUCAAAGGAGCAAUCCGGUAAGAGAUGGGCUCGCGUCCGAUUAGAUAGUUGGUGAGGUAACGGCCCACCAAGUCGACGAUCGGUAGCCGACCUGAGAGGGUGAUCGGCCACAUUGGAACUGAGAGACGGUCCAAACUCCUACGGGAGGCAGCAGUGGGGAAUAUUGGGCAAUGGGGGAAACCCUGACCCAGCGACGCCGCGUGAGGGAAGAAGGUUUUCGGAUUGUAAACCUCUGUUCUUGGUGAAGAGGGGAAGACGGUAGCCAAGGAGGAAGCCCCGGCUAACUACGUG